rnacentral:misc_RNA from 1 species
UACAGGGGAAUGUCGGGGCCAGG